GACGAACGCUGGCGGCGUGCUUAACACAUGCAAGUCGAACGGAAAGGCCCUGCUUUUGUGGGGUGCUCGAGUGGCGAACGGGUGAGUAACACGUGAGUAACCUGCCCUUGACUUUGGGAUAACUUCAGGAAACUGGGGCUAAUACCGGAUAGGAGCUCCUGCUGCAUGGUGGGGGUUGGAAAGUUUCGGCGGUUGGGGAUGGACUCGCGGCUUAUCAGCUUGUUGGUGGGGUAGUGGCUUACCAAGGCUUUGACGGGUAGCCGGCCUGAGAGGGUGACCGGCCACAUUGGGACUGAGAUACGGCCCAGACUCCUACGGGAGGCAGCAGUGGGGAAUAUUGCACAAUGGGCGGAAGCCUGAUGCAGCAACGCCGCGUGCGGGAUGACGGCCUUCGGGUUGUAAACCGCUUUCGCCUGUGACGAAGCGUGAGUGACGGUAAUGGGUAAAGAAGCACCGGCUAACUACGUGCCAGCAGCCGCGGUGAUACGUAGGGUGCGAGCGUUGUCCGGAUUUAUUGGGCGUAAAGGGCUCGUAGGUGGUUGAUCGCGUCGGAAGUGUAAUCUUGGGGCUUAACCCUGAGCGCGCUUUCGAUACGGGUUGACUUGAGGAAGGUAGGGGAGAAUGGAAUUCCUGGUGGAGCGGUGGAAUGCGCAGAUAUCAGGAGGAACACCAGUGGCGAAGGCGGUUCUCUGGGCCUUUCCUGGCGCUGAGGAGCGAAAGCGUGGGGAGCGAACAGGCUUAGAUACCCUGGUAGUCCACGCUGUAAACGGUGGGUACUAGGUGUGGGGUCCAUUCCACGGGUUCCGUGCCGUAGCUAACGCUUUAAGUACCCCGCCUGGGGAGUACGGCCGCAAGGCUAAAACUCAAAGGAAUUGACGGGGCCCCGCACAAGCGGCGGAGCAUGCGGAUUAAUUCGAUGCAACGCGUAGAACCUUACCUGGGUUUGACAUGGAUCGGGAGUGCUCAGAGAUGGGUGUGCCUCUUUUGGGGUCGGUUCACAGGUGGUGCAUGGCUGUCGUCAGCUCGUGUCGUGAGAUGUUGGGUUAAGUCCCGCAACGAGCGCAACCCUUGUUCACUGUUGCCAGCACGUUAUGGUGGGGACUCAGUGGAGACCGCCGGGGUCAACUCGGAGGAAGGUGGGGAUGACGUCAAGUCAUCAUGCCCCUUAUGUCCAGGGCUUCACGCAUGCUACAAUGGCUGGUACAGGGAGUGGCGAGCCUGUGAGGGUGAGCGAAUCUCGGAAAGCCGGUCUCAGUUCGGAUUGGGGUCUGCAACUCGACCUCAUGAAGUCGGAGUCGCUAGUAAUCGCAGGUCAGCAACGCUGCGGUGAAUACGUUCCCGGG
rnacentral:rRNA from 1 species